rnacentral:rRNA from 1 species
GGACGAACGCUGGCGGCGUGCCUAAUACAUGCAAGUCGAACGAGCUCUCCUAAAUUGAUUUUAUGCUUGCAUAAAUGAUUUUUAGAUUCGGAGCGAGUGGCGAACUGGUGAGUAACACGUGGGUAACCUGCCCCGAAGCGGGGGAUAACAUUUGGAAACAAAUGCUAAUACCGCAUAAUUAGUUGGAACCGCAUGGUUCCAACUUGAAAGAUGGCUCUGCUAUCACUUUGGGAUGGACCCGCGCCGUAUUAGUUAGUUGGUGAGAUAAAAGCCCACCAAGACGAUGAUACGUAGCCGACCUGAGAGGGUAAUCGGCCACAUUGGGACUGAGACACGGCCCAGACUCCUACGGGAGGCAGCAGUAGGGAAUCUUCCACAAUGGACGAAAGUCUGAUGGAGCAACGCCGCGUGAGUGAUGAAGGUUUUCGGAUCGUAAAACUCUGUUGUUAAAGAAGAACAAGUGUUAGAGUAACUGUUAACACUUUGACGGUAUUUAACCAGAAAGCCACGGCUAACUACGUGCCAGCAGCCGCGGUAAUACGUAGGGUGGGAAAGCUUUGUCCGGAUUUAUUGGGCGUAAUGCGAGCGCGGGCGGUUUUGUAAGUCUGCUGUGAAAGCCCUCAGCUCAACUGAGGAAGUGCAGUGGAAACUACAAAACUUGAGUACAGAAGAGGAAAGUGGAACUCCAUGUGUAGCGGUGAAAUGCGUAGAUAUAUGGAAGAACACCAGUGGCGAAGGCGGCUUUCUGGUCUGCUACUGACGCUGAGGCUCGAAAGCAUGGGUAGCGAACAGGAUUAGAUACCCUGGUAGUCCAUGCCGUAAACGAUGAAUACUAGGUGUUGGAGGGUUCCGCCCUUCAGUGCCGCAGCUAACGCAUUAAGUAUUCCGCCUGGGGAGUACGACCGCAAGGUUGAAACUCAAAGGAAUUGACGGGGGCCCGCACAAGUGGUGGAGCAUGUGGUUUAAUUCGAUGCUACGCGAAGAACCUUACCAGCUCUUGACAUCUUCUGCCAACCCAAGAGAUUGGGCGUUCCCUUCGGGGACAGAAUGACAGGUGGUGCAUGGUUGUCGUCAGCUCGUGUCGUGAGAUGUUGGGUUAAGUCCCGCAACGAGCGCAACCCUUAUUAUUAGUUGCCAGCAUUUAGUUGGGCACUCUAGUGAGACUGCCGGUGAUAAACCGGAGGAAGGUGGGGACGACGUCAAAUCAUCAUGCCCCUUAUGAGCUGGGCUACACACGUGCUACAAUGGAUGGUACAACGAGUCGCGAAACCGCGAGGUCAAGCUAAUCUCUUAAAGCCAUUCUCAGUUCGGAUUGCAGGCUGCAACUCGCCUGCAUGAAGUUGGAAUCACUAGUAAUCGUGGAUCAGCAUGCCACGGUGAAUACGUUCCCGGGCCUUGUACACACC